rnacentral:rRNA from 1 species
AUUGAACGCUGGCGGCAGGCCUAACACAUGCAAGUCGAACGGUAACAGGAAGAAGCUUGCUUCUUUGCUGACGAGUGGCGGACGGGUGAGUAAUGUCUGGGAAACUGCCUGAUGGAGGGGGAUAACUACUGGAAACGGUAGCUAAUACCGCAUAACGUCGCAAGACCAAAGAGGGGGACCUUCGGGCCCCUUGCCAUCGGAUGUGCCCAGAUGGGAUUAGCUAGUAGGUGGGGUAACGGCUCACCUAGGCGACGAUCCCUAGCUGGUCUGAGAGGAUGACCAGCCACACUGGAACUGAGACACGGUCCAGACUCCUACGGGAGGCAGCAGUGGGGAAUAUUGCACAAUGGGCGCAAGCCUGAUGCAGCCAUGCCGCGUAUAUGAAGAAGGCCUUCGGGUUGUAAAGUACUUUCAGCGGGGGGGAAGAGAGUAAAGUUAAUACCUUUGCUCAUUGACGUUACCCGCAGAAGAAGCACCGGCUAACUCCGUG